UCUUGUUCUUCAGCACUUUGGAGCGUCUGAACAAACUCACAAAGUUUCAUCUCUGCUGUCUGAAGACUAAUCUACAGGAUUAUUAGAUUAUUGAUGAACUGGAACCAAACAACAUGAUGAACAGCUGAUGUUCAGAUGUGAUGUUUAGAUGAGCAGAACUCUGUCGACCCAAUCAGAGCUUCACGGCUCCAGAUGAUCCGUCUAAAAUCUAAAUAUCUGGGAGCUUAAAGACAGGAACGUCCUUCAUGUCCAAUAAAGCCCGGACUUCACUGUGGCUCCACUUCUCUGGCUCUGGCUCCAUUUUGGUAAAUGUGAAGGUAGAAAGUGUGUGUGAGCUGAUGUGGAUGUGAAUUCAGCAGCAUG